ensembl:lncRNA novel transcript
CGCGGCCCUAAGGUGCUGGCGGGCGUUUGGCGUUGCAGCUGUGUGGGCGCUGGUGCGUGCGAGUAGCGCUCGAAGAAACCCAAAGGCGUCGUGGGGCUGCCGUGUGCCCCAGAGAGCACUGCAGGCCGGGUAGGGGCUAAGGCUCCCCGCAGUCUUCUGUGUGUCGUCCAGUACGCAGUUGAAAUCGUUCUCCAACCUGGCCAGUCCUCCGAGGCCCUUCUCAGGCGACCAGACUCUGUUAACAGAGUCCAUUGCUAAAACUCCUCGUUAGUAUUUACCACUCCUCCAGUCUGUGUUUUGAAGCAGUGGUUUUCAACCACUGCCCGUUUUCAGAAGAAAUCAUCUCAAGCGUCCGUGUGCUGCUAGAAGCCGGGCCGGGAGGUCUUGGUGCCGGACUCCACCCUGCAGCCCUUCCCUUUCGCCACCGCCCUGUGCUUAGAGAAACCUUAGAGUGGAGCAAUGAGUCGCCCUUGACUGAGUAACUCUUCGGGGUCAACUUCUCCUUCCACGCCAAGGAAAGGAUUCCAGGGCGAUGUUUCUGGAAAUAGAGAUCUGACCAAGCCACUGCUCUGGUGAAAAUUCAGUGGGUCCCUAGCACCUAGUGCAGCGGCUCCUAGCCUGAGUAUUGCCGUCUUUCGGUGGGGAGGGGUUGGGUUUUUUUGUAGCAUCUGUUGAUCUGAUCUCCAACAUCCUCCACGUCAAUUCCCACUCCACCCACAUCCCUUAUCCUAUACGUAAGCUUUCCAGCCACGGUGCUGGCUUGGGUGGGGGUGCGUGCGGUGCUGACACCAAAAUGGAGGUCCCGUGUUUCUGAGAGUCUCUUUCAGAGCAAUGCAAACCUGAAACUACUCCUGCCAAGAAACGAUUGCAGCUCUUCCCGGAAAAGUUAAAGCCUUUGAGAAACAAAGCUGAGUAAGAAGGAGAACUAAGAAAGAGACUGAAGCAUGGUCUGUGGAGAAGGCACUUGUGCAAACACCAGGAGAAUGAGGGGCCUGAGUUGUCUUCGUUUCUCCUAAAAGCAUGCAUUCCCGGCUGGGCGCGGUGACUCAUGCGUGUAAUCCCGCCACUUUAGAAGGCUGAGGCAGGCGGAUCACCUGAGAUCGGGAGUUCGAGACCAGCCCGACCAACAUGGAGAAACCCCAUCUCUAUUAAAAAUACAAAAUUACCCAGGCAUGGUGGCACAUGCCUGUAAUCCCAGCUACUUGGGAGGCGAAGGCAGGAGAAUUGCUUGAACCCAGAAGGCGGAAGCUGCAGAGAGCCGAGAUUUCGCCAUUGUACUCCAGCCUGGGCAACAAGAGUGAAACUCCAUCUCAAAAAACAAACAAACAAACACACAAACAAACAAACAAACACAUUCCCUCCCAGGCCACCCAAGUGAGGGCAUGAAGCACAGCGUGUGUGUGUGUGUGUGUGUGUGUGUGUGCACGCGUGUGUGCAUAUGUGUGUUUGUGUGUUGCAGGGGUUACAGUGGACAGGAUGUGGGAGGGCAGCUGCAGCUCCAAGCUGCAAGUCUUUCUGAUAGAAUGCUUAAAACUCCUUGGACCACAGCAAGAGAGUGUUUUCAUUUGCACCCAUUUUUAUUAGCGUUUGAACCUGUACUUUUUGUAGCAUGUAAACCUUAAGCUGCUUAACUAUUCCUUGAAGCAUUUACACCAGCGGUUCCCAACCUUUUUGCUACCUGAGACCAGUUUUCUUGAAGACAAUUCUUCCACGGACCCGGGAGAAGGGGAAGGGAUGAUGUGGAGAUGAUUCAAGCCCAUUACAUUUAUUGUGUGCUUCAUUUCUAUUAUUUCACUGUAAUAUAUAAUGAAAUAAUUACACAACUCACCAUAAUGUGGAA